rnacentral:rRNA from 1 species
CAGCCGCCACGGUAAUACGUAGGUCCCGAGCGUUGUCCGGAUUUAUUGGGCGUAAAGCGAGCGCAGGCGGUUAGAUAAGUCUGAAGUUAAAGGCUGUGGCUUAACCAUAGUACGCUUUGGAAACUGUUUAACUUGAGUGCAAGAGGGGAGAGUGGAAUUCCAUGUGCAGCGGUGAAAUGCGUAGAUAUAUGGAGGAACACCGGUGGCGAAAGCGGCUCUCUGGCUUGUAACUGACGCUGAGGCUCGAAAGCGUGGGGAGCAAACAGGAUUAGAUACCCCUGUAGUCCCUGUCUCUUAUACA